UACGAAGGGGGCUAGCGUUGUUCGGAUUUACUGGGCGUAAAGCGCACGUAGGCGGAUCGUUAAGUCGGGGGUGAAAUCCUGGGGCUCAACCCCAGAACUGCCUUCGAUACUGGCGAUCUUGAGUCCGGAAGAGGUGAGUGGAACUCCUAGUGUAGAGGUGGAAUUCGUAGAUAUUAGGAAGAACACCAGUGGCGAAGGCGGCUCACUGGUCCGGUACUGACGCUGAGGUGCGAAAGCGUGGGGAGCAAACAGG
rnacentral:rRNA from 1 species